rnacentral:misc_RNA from 1 species
ACUAGUUGUUUGUGGAGAAAGAGAAGAGCAUCAUUGAAGGCUAAUGAAUUAUGAUAUUAAUAUUGAACCGUUUGUUUAUAUUUCAUCCUCAGCACAGACAAUCUUUUCUGAAUGGAAAAUUUCUCAUCCUUUCUUCCUAAUUUAUCUAAGUAGAAUACAAUCUUCUUUAGGGUUUGCAUAACCUCUUCACUCUCAUGGCUCUCUUUCUCUUGAAUAUUCAAAACCCUCUUGAGUAGCUCUAGCAACUCAGCAUCUGCCCUCUUUAAUCUGGUCUGAAUGGAUAUCAAACAGUCCAGAGCCUCCCCAACUGGAAGAGAAUCUUUUCCAAAUGCCUUCUCACGAAUGCGCAAAACCUUCAAAGCAAGUUGCUCUGCUUCUUCAUCCCGAUUUAAAUGGUAUAGAGUCACUGCAAGAUGUAACAUUGGGAAGGUGAUGGACUGAUCCUCAGGGCUUACAGUUUUCGCCAUGAUAUCCAAACUUAUCCUCAACAACCGCUCGGCCUCAACAAAAUUCUUGGACUGUGAAUAAGAGGUAGCAAGAUUUAGAAGGUGGGUAACUGAGCUGGGAUGAUCUUUUCCUUUGGAUCUUUCAGAGAUCAACAAGCAUUCCUCUAGCAGCUCUCGGCCUUCUUUUCCUCUCCCUACAACAUGAAGUAAUUCUGCCAAAUCAAUCCUCAUCUUCUCCAUGAUACUGUCAUCCAGAGCUAUAUAAUUUGUGUCCUUGAUGAGCUGAAGACCCUUUCCAUACAAGUCAAUAGCUUCUUCGACAUUCCCUGUUGAGCACUUCACAUGGGCUAGGGAACACAAAGCCACGCCAAUUCUUCCAUCAUUUUCUCCAUAUAACUUACUAUAUAUGCUCAAAAUUCUAGACAGAGACAAAAUAAAAAUGAAGUUAAUGAUCAUACCUAACCUCUAAUUAUUCAGCAAAGACAAAAAGAAAGUAUAGUAACCUAAUAAAAUGAAUUUCAGAAUCAGUAGUUCUUCCUUCCUUGAGCAAAAGAUUGCCUAGACCAAUUAAAGGGACCACCAAGUCUUCACUCUCUACACCUCUGCUUGAUUCUAAAAUAGUUAUUGCACGUUGGUAAAUCUCUAUGGCUUUUGUCACUCUUCCAAUUGAAACAAGAACUUUUGCCAUCCCCAAAAAUGGUGAGACAAGAAAAAUACUACUUUUCCCUGGAAAAACAAUGAACUAAGAUGAGCAUUGAGCUUUAGACUGGGACUUCCCUUGCUAAAUAAUUGAAAAAAUUUUCCAAAGAUCAAUUGAAGUACUGUGGUCAAACGUAAAGCAAUAUAAUGCGAAAACAACUAUUGAAAUCUACACAAAAAUUUCAUAUCAUUGUUAGUUUAGUCUCCAUUUUCAUUUACAUGAUUACAUUGUUCAGCUACAGUCAAUUUGAAAUUGCUGCAAAACUGCAGAAAACUUUAUAUUAUAGAUCAAGUCUAUAGUCAAAAGAAAAUUAGGACUCCAAGACGCAUUUUGUAUACAAACAGCAUAAAUGCAAGGAUAUGGAUCAGUUGCAGACAGGCAUUCUAACUUUUAGUUCCAGGAACGCCCAAUCUAAAAGGAAAUAAUGUGCUAUUGACCAAAAAGCAAGCUGGUUUAACUGCAAGAAAAUUUUUAAUUUCUUCAAUCUAGUAGGGGGAAAAAAAAGCUUUCCAGCUUCAACAUUAUCACUUUAGCACUGUAGCUUACCUGCUAGAAAAUUGUUAAGAAUAGAUUCUUAUAAUAUUAGUAAUAAGGUAGCCUGUCACAAUAACUGGUAUAACAAGUAGAGCUAGUCAAAGUUGAAAGACACCAGAAAAUUCAAGAUAUGAUAAAAUUCUAAUGCUACACCUACAAAGACAAAUAAA